rnacentral:rRNA from 1 species
AGUGAGUGGCGAACGGGUGAGUAACACGUGGGUAACCUGCCCAGAAGUAGGGGAUAACACCUGGAAACAGAUGCUAAUACCGUAUAACAGAGAAAACCGCAUGGUUUUCUUUUAAAAGAUGGCUCUGCUAUCACUUCUGGAUGGACCCGCGGCGUAUUAGCUAGUUGGUGAGGUAAAGGCUCACCAAGGCAGUGAUACGUAGCCGACCUGAGAGGGUAAUCGGCCACAUUGGGACUGAGACACGGCCCAGACUCCUACGGGAGGCAGCAGUAGGGAAUCUUCCACAAUGGACGCAAGUCUGAUGGAGCAACGCCGCGUGAGUGAAGAAGGGUUUCGGCUCGUAAAGCUCUGUUGUUAAAGAAGAACGUGGGUAAGAGUAACUGUUUACCCAGUGACGGUAUUUAACCAGAAAGCCACGGCUAACUACGUGCCAGCAGCCGCGGUAAUACGUAGGUGGCAAGCGUUAUCCGGAUUUAUUGGGCGUAAAGCGAGCGCAGGCGGUCUUUUAAGUCUAAUGUGAAAGCCUUCGGCUCAACCGAAGAAGUGCAUUGGAAACUGGGAGACUUGAGUGCAGAAGAGGACAGUGGAACUCCAUGUGUAGCGGUGAAAUGCGUAGAUAUAUGGAAGAACACCAGUGGCGAAGGCGGCUGU